rnacentral:rRNA from 1 species
AACGAACGCUGGCGGCAGGCUUAACACAUGCAAGUCGAGCGCCCAGCAAUGGGAGCGGCGGACGGGUGAGUAACACGUGGGAACAUGCCUUACGGUACGGAACAACGCAGGGAAACUUGCGCUAAUACCGUAUGCGCCGGAAACGGGAAAGAUUUAUCGCCGAAAGAUUGGCCCGCGUCUGAUUAGCUUGUUGGUGAGGUGACGGCUCACCAAGGCUUCGAUCGGUAGCUGGUUUGAGAGAGCGACCAGCCACACUGGGACUGAGACACGGCCCAGACUCCUACGGGAGGCAGCAGUGGGGAAUCUUGGACAAUGGGGGAAACCCUGAUCCAGCCAUGCCGCGUGAGUGAUGAAGGCCCUAGGGUUGUAAAACUCUUUCGGCGGGGACGAUAAUGACGGUACCCGCAGAAGAAGCUCCGGCUAACUUCGUGCCAGCAGCCGCCGUAA